rnacentral:lncRNA from 1 species
AUUUUAUAUUUUUAUAGAUUUUAACAUUUUUGGAAAAAUUAUCAAUAAAUAAUAUUAAUAUAAAAUUAUAAUCCGAAAAACUCAACACUAAAUGCCUGAACAAAAACACAAACAAACCCUAAACCCAAUCUUAAGCAUUAUUCUAAACCAAACCCUAAACCCAGCGUAAACUAUAAUCCUAAACGCUAAACCUUUCCUACUACCUAAACCCUACCUAAACCAAACCUAAACCCUACAUAAACCCUAAACCCAAACCUAACCCUAAUCCCUAAACCCUUCCAACUACCUAAACCUACCUAACCCUACCUAACCCUAAACCCUAUCUAACCCUAAACCCUAUCUAAACCUAACCCUAAACCCUACAUAAACCCUAAACCCUACAUAAACCUAACCCUAAUCCCUAAACCCUUCCUACUACCUAAACCCUAAACCCUAUCUAACCCUAACUAUAAACCCUACCUAACCCUAAACCCUACCUAAACCCUAAACCCUACCUAACCCUAAGCCCUAUUUAACCAUAAACCCUACUAACCCUAACCCUAAACCCUAUCUAACCCUAGACCCUAAAUCCUACCUAACCCUAAACCCUAUCUAACCCUAAACCCUAUCUACCCUAAACCCUAAACCCUGCCUAAACCCUAAACCCUACAUAAACCUAACCCUAAUCCCUAAACCCUUCCUACUACCUAAACCCUAAACCCUAUCUAACCCUAAACCCUAUUUAACCCUAAGCCCUAUAUAACCCUAAACCCUAUCUAACCCUAAACCCUAUUUAACCCUAAGCCCUAUAUAACCCUAAACCCUAUCUAACCCUAAACCCUGCCUAACCCUAAACCCUAUCUAACCCUAAACCCUACCUAACCCUAAACCCUACAUAACACUAAACCCUACCUAACCCUAAACCCUACCUAACCCUAAACCCUACAACCUACCUAACCCUAAACCCUACCUAACUAAACAUUCUACUAACCCUAACCCUAAACCCUAUCUAACCCUAAGCCCUAUAUAACCCUAAACCCUAUCUAACCCUAAACCCUGCCUAACCCUAAACCCUAUCUAACCCUAAACCCUAUUUAACCCUACCCCCUACUAACCCUAACCCUAAACCCUAUCUAACCCUAAGCCCUAUAUAACCCUAAACCCUAUCUAACCCUAAACCCUGCCUAACCCUAAACCCUACCUAACCCUAAACCCUAAAACCUACCUAACCCUAAACCCUACCUAACUAAACAUUAAACCCUGUCUAACCCUAAACCCUAUCUAACCCUAAACCCUACCUAACCCUAAACCCUAUCUAACCCUAAACCCUAUCUACCCUAAACCCUAAACCCUGCCUAACCCUAAACCCUACCUAACCCUAAACCAUACUAACCCUAAACCCUACCUAACCCUAAACCCUACCUAACACUAAACCCUACCUAACCCUAAACCCUACCUAACCCUAAACCCUAUCUAACCCUAAACCCUAUCUACCCUAAACCCUAAACCCUGCCUAACCCUAAACCCUACCUAACCCUAAACCCUAAAACCUACCUAACCCUAAACCCUACCUAACACUAAACCCUACCUAACCCUAAACCCUACCUAACACUAAACCCUACCUAACCCUAAACCCUAAAACCUACCUAACCCUUAAACCCUACCUAACUAAACACUAAACCCUGUCUAACCCUAAACCCUAUCUAACCCUAAACCCUAUCGAACCCUAAACCCUAUCUAACCCUAAACCCUGCCUAACCCUAAACCCUAUCUAACCCUAAACCCUACCUAACCCUAAACCCUACUAACCCUAAACCCUGCCUAACCCUAAACCCUACCUAACCCCAAACCCUAAAACCUACCUAACCCUAAACCCUACCUAACUAAACCCUAAACCCUGUCUAACCCUAAACCCUAUCUAACCCUAAACCCUAUCGAACCCUAAAUCCUACCUAACCCUAAACCCUAAACCCUACCUAACCCUAAACCUUAAACCCUACCUAACCCUAAACCCUAAACCCUACCUAACCCUAAACCUUAAACCCUACCUAACCCUAAACCCUAAACCCUACCUAACCCUAAACCUUAAACCCUACCUAACCCUAAACCCUACCUAACCCUAAACCUUAAACCCUACCUAACCCUAAACCCUGUCUAACCCUAAACCCUGCCUAACCCUAAACCCUACCUAACCCUAAACCGUACUAACCCUAAAAAAGCCUGCCUAAAACCUAACCUUAAACCCUAAUUAAACCCUAAACCCUACCUAAACCUAACCCUAAA